GCACUGAUGGAGGCAUUUUCCAAAGAACAGUGACAAGGACGGCCAGCACCUCUCUUGCAUUCCUCAGUCUGACUCAAGCUGCUCUUCCACCCUCCUCCCCAGCUGGAGCUGAGGCUGAAGGCAGUUGAGGGCCACCAGGGAGAAGAGCUGGGUCAGGGCCGUGACUUGCCAGCAAGCAUGAGGCCAAGCAGAUGUGCCGGGCAGGACGUACGAAUGAUGUUAUUUCUGGCAAGGAGGACACGGCUGCUGUGGUUGAUUGGCUGUGGAAUUCCAGGGGAGCAAGGCACUAGGAAGUGGGGAACGCUGCCAGGCCCAGCAGCUCAUCAGGAGCUUGCACUUGGCCCAGUUAGGGCUGGCCGUGGGACGGGCUUGUUGAAGCUGCUGCCGCCAUAAGCUGCCCCUCUGCACCAGGAGACAGAUCCCAUUACCCCACCUACAGCUGCUUCCUGGUACAAGAGAAGAGUUACCAUUUGAAAUGACUCCACAGGAGAGUCUGACAAACAUGUUUGCUUUUCACUGACAAUUAAAAUUGUUUUGCUGCUAA
rnacentral:lncRNA from 1 species